GCUUAGAUUGAUCAACUGGGCCCCAGAAUAGGUCAUCAUCUGCUUUAUAUUUUGACUGAAUAGCAGCAUUGGAAUUGAUCUGGAUGGAAGAAGCAGCCUUAGAGGGAGAAGAAGCAGAAAGUGACCAUGAAGGACCACUUCCUUGGGUAGCUUGAGUUGGCUGGGGUUUCUGAAGGGUUAUCAUUGGAUUUUGAGGCUGGACGGAAGAAACCUUCUUCUCCUGCUCCAUUAGUAUGUCCCUUAAAGAGGUGGGUUUAGGGAGCUUCUUGGUGUCAGUAGACCAUGCUGGAGAAGGGGAAUGAGUUGUUGACUCUCCUUUCCAAAAAACAAA
rnacentral:misc_RNA from 1 species